AACUUUUUGAACCCAUGCAGAAAUUUCGUCAGACACCAAACUAUUAGAGCUGAUCAGACUUCCAAGAUAAGUGAAGUU
rnacentral:pre_miRNA from 1 species